UGGCACCAGAAUCUAUAAUCCAAAUGUAUUCACUAAUUUUAUUUAACACGCAAGCCCCAUAAGAUACAUUCUUUAAACGACUGGGGGGGAGAAAAAGUACCAGCUAAGUUGGCAGAUGCCAUAAGACUGGAUUGUUGUUGAGACUUUGAAUUUGUGUCUGUUGAAGCAGCAACAUGAGUUGUGAAUAUUGAUCCUUUGUUAAACCAGGAAUCAAAGAUUCUGAUUCAGAGGACCCCUGAGUACCAUCAACAUUGUUUGGAGACCCAACAGAGUUCAGACAUCCCUGCACCUCAACAUUUGCUGCAGUCCUCUUGCUUCUUGUAAAUUUGAAGUCUGGUGGGAAUCCAUGGAGUUUGUAGCACUUGUCAAUC
rnacentral:lncRNA from 1 species